GGGGAUUUAGCUCAAUGGUAGAGUGCCUGCCUAGCAAGCACAAGGCCCUGGGUUCAGUCUCCAGCUCCA
rnacentral:tRNA from 1 species